AUUCAGUGUUGACAGUUAUCUGCAUGCUCUUUACAGAGCCACUAAAGUGAGCCUGCCACAGGACACACAAGGCCUUUUGUCUGGGGCUCUUGUGUGGAUCUCACACAGAGCAUGAUAUCCAGGGAAGUGUAAGUGUGAUCUGGGUAACAAGGGCAUGACCUGAGGCCGAGGUUUGCUUCUGUUGAGGCACUGAGGUGACAGUGUGUUCUUUUUCUCCCUAGGACUGGCCCCUGGGAUUUGCUGCUCAGGACCCGAGUUCACUGAGACAUCAGGAGCAAGCACUGGAGGCCCGGUGCUGCUGGACCCAGAUGGGAGCCAUGCAGGACUUGACCAUUGCCUGCACACACUUCUUCCCAGGAGAAAGGGAAUGAGCAAGGACUGGCCCCUGGGAUUUGCUGCUCAGAACCUGAAUUCACUGAGACAUCAGGAGCAAGCACUGGAGGCCGGUGCUGCUGGACCCAGAUGGGAGCCAUGCAGGACUUGACCAUUGCCUGCACACACUUCUUCCAGGAGAAGGGGAAUGAGGAAGGCAGACUGACAUCACAGUACCCUUCAGAGUAUUAAUGCAGACCCUGGUGACUGAGGUACAGUACCAACUACCAAAUGGGCAGCUGUGCUGAGGUGCAGGGACAGGAAGCAGAAGGGCAGGUUCCAGCCCGCUCAGCUGGCCAUGAACUGGCCCCUGGGAUUUGCUGCUCAGGACCCGAGUUCACUGAGACAUGAGGAGCAAGCACUGGAGACCGGGUGCUGCUGGACCCUGAUGGGAGCCAUGCGGGACUUGACCAUGGCCUGCACACACUUCUUCCCAGGAGAAGGGGAAUGAGGAAGGUGGGGGCCUCAAGGCUUUUUUUCCUCUUCUUUUUGCCUUGCUAAGUUUUUAUAUUCCUCUUUAUCCAUUUGAUUAUUUUGUACAAAAAUCAGGUACAGCCUCCUUACAUAUGGCAUUGAUAUAAAGUGUAAAACAGAAGCUAAAUUCUAGGAGUACAGCUUUCAUGAUUCUGACACAGACUAGGAAGGCUAGAACUGCAUAGUUAGUGGACACUGCCUGUGUAUUGACAUUUUUUUCAGACUGAAGGCCAGGACAGAGAGCUGCAGUCAGUAUACUUUCCCUGCUCUGGGGCAACACUGCCAUCAUGGGAAAAUGUUUCCUGUAGACCAGCACAGGCACAGACCCCUCCUCCAUCCUGCAUCUCCUCAGCCAUUUUGAAGCAGGA
rnacentral:lncRNA from 1 species